UACGUAGGGUGCGAGCGUUGUCCGGAAUUAUUGGGCGUAAAGGGCUCGUAGGCGGUCCAUCGCGUCGGGAGUGAAAAGCUGGGGCUUAACCCCAGUCCUGCUUUCGAUACGGGUGGACUAGAGGUAGGCAGGGGAGAAUGGAAUUCCUGGUGUAGCGGUGAAAUGCGCAGAUAUCAGGAGGAACACCGGUGGCGAAGGCGGCCUUCUGGACAGUGACUGACGCUGAGACGCGAAAGCGUGGGGAGCAAACAGG
rnacentral:rRNA from 1 species